rnacentral:rRNA from 1 species
UACGGGAGGCAGCAGUGGGGAAUAUUGCACAAUGGGCGCAAGCCUGAUGCAGCCAUGCCGCGUGUAUGAAGAAGGCCUUCGGGUUGUAAAGUACUUUCAGUCGUGAGGAAGGUGUUAAGGUUAAUAACCUUAGCAAUUGACGUUAGCGACAGAAGAAGCACCGGCUAACUCCGUGCCAGCAGCCGCGGUAAUACGGAGGGUGCGAGCGUUAAUCGGAAUUACUGGGCGUAAAGGGCACGCAGGCGGUUAAUUAAGUUGGAUGUGAAAUCCCCGGGCUUAACCUGGGAAUGGCAUUCAAGACUGGUUAGCUAGAGUCUUGUAGAGGGGGUAGAAUUCCAUGUGUAGCGGUGAAAUGCGUAGAGAUGUGGAGGAAUACCGGUGGCGAAGGCGGCCCCUGGACAAAGACUGACGCUCAUGUGCGAAAGCGUGGGGAGGCAAACAGGGAUUAGAUAC